UUAAGACACCUUGACGUACUAUACAUCUAUUUCUUUGCAUAGAACCAAUAAACAAACAUCACUGAGUUCGGAGUAGCAAGGCAAACAAAAUAAAGACUAUGCAAACAAGAAUGAUGUAGUGCCACUUGAAUGGAAGAAUACAUAUUGCUAAUAAUAAUACACUUUACCAGCCCUCUCAUGGAGAAUGAAUUAAUUGCAACUGGUGAAACUUCCUUCCAGAUGAAUGAAUGCAUCGAGGUAAAAUAGCAAACACAUGAUUAUAUCAUCCGUGGAGACAAAAACACCUUAAAGAAAGCAAAAACUCAAAACGAUAAUUUACGACUUUCACCUCAAGACGAUUCGCCUCAAUCACCAGCACAUGAAAGACCAAUGAACUGAAGAUCGAAGGUGCCACACGCAUAGAAGUUUGAUACUUCUAUUUCCAGUAAACUGAAGAAACAAAAUAAUAAAGGAGAAGCUAAUGACAUGUGUGCACAACAAGCAUAUGGAAAAGACCAAUGUAGUACAUGAGGGUAUCUUCAGUUUGCAUAGAUAAUCAGUGAAUAAAAGGGCAUAAUUUAGCUAGCCUGCUAUAUAAUUCAUACUAAUUAAAAAACACAACUCUUAUCACAUCAUAUUCAAUAAUUCCAAAGCUAGAGCAAAUUAGAACAUAUCUUCUCAUUAUAAUUUCAUUUUCUAAUAAGACAUUUUCAUCAUCAUGCCAUGUUUGACAAAGUUCCCCUGCCCAAAGGAUAAAAUGUAGGGGGGGAAUGCAUUUCAGUUGUCAUGCUUUCUUGAAACACUAUUUUUUGUACAUUGUAUAAGGUGGAUUGGCAAGCCCCUUUAUAGAAAUUUAGUGGUGAAUAAAUCUGAGUGUGAGAGUGAGUCUUACUACACUUCAACAACAUUCAAGCUUCACCAGGAGCAUUUGAAACCAAAUUCAUGGUCAGGAAAUAUCAAAUCUCUAGAAAAAAAUACAGUUUUCUAUAAAUAAAAUAAAGAAUUGGGCAUUAACCUAUAUAUGACUUGGGAGGAAUGUGUGUGUUUCACAGAAUUCAAUAUGCCUAGUAUAAACAAAAGAGCAUGUGUAUGCAUGUUAUACGUUGAGCCUGCCCGGGUGUCGGCGACCACAUUUGCAUAUAGCAACGAGCAGGCCUCAUCUAUGAUGCCGUGUGUGAAUAUUUGCCUGCUGCCGCUGACAGUGCCAGUCAAGAGGGCAUGUGGUAGAACAUGAACUAACAUAUUGAUGACCAGAUCACCAAGUACCACCACAAAUACUGUAAUUGCAAAACACAUUGUGGUUUUCAUAAUAUACAGCAGAAAAUUGUAGACACACACUCAUGCCCUUACAGGCGUGACCAUACCAUGUCACACUAUCAAUUCCUCCUCAUCGUUGUCAUCCCAAUCGGUAGGCCUAGAUUCUUUUGCGGGUUCAUUUGUCGGUGACGUGUGGACAUGCGACUCGAGGUCCGGCAUCACCGUAGUGAGAAGACUGGGUGUGAUACAAACAGAGCCUAAAUCGUAUCCUCAAAUAAGCCUAUGAAAUAAUCCAAUCCUUCUACUGCACAAUCUAGUAUAAAUCCCAAGUAACACAUGCAUGCUGAGAGAUGUAUGCUACAUUACUGAAUUGGGCCUGCCCAAGUCACCCUACCUCACUAACUCCUACACAAAGUAUACUUUGCUGAAUUUUGCAUCUACCGAUUAAUGAACCACACUAAAUUAAGCAAACACACGUCAGUACAGAGAACGAAUGCUCAUGCAAAAUCGUUAGUCCACGAGACAGGCGAGCUGCUUAAUGAACAAUUCAGUUUGGAUACAGAAAAAUUGAGUACAACUUAUAGUUCGAAGCAUCCGUACAACUGAUAUGGCCGUUCCUCUGUGUGCCCACGGUGCGGCAGCGUGGAGGCGCGCACGUACGAUAUCGUUCGCCAGCGUCCGCCUUGCGUAUGUCCAUGUCCCCAGCGGGGGCGGCAG
rnacentral:lncRNA from 1 species